CUGCGACAUGAUCUUGGUGAUUUGUUCAGCCUUCCUCCUUUAUCAAUUUUUUUUUUCUGAGAUGGAGUUUCACUUGUCACCCAGGCUGGACUGCAAUGGCAUGAUGGCUCACUACAACCUUGCCUCCCUGGUUCGAGCCAUUCUCCUGCCUCAGCCUCCUGCCCUAAAGUGAUCCUCCCACCUCAGCCUUUCAAAGUGCUGGGAUUACAGAUGUGAGCCAUUGCACCCACCUUUUUUUCUCAUUUUGAAAAUAUAAAAAAUUAAAACAGAAAUAGGGGGAAAAUGGAUCUCACCCAGAGGUAACAGGCUCCAAGAACAGUGGCUCUAAAAAGUCUUCUCUGGAUGAGUGAUGGACUUUUCAUUUGUCUCCUUGUUGGAGGGGGCGGGGGCAGUGAGUGUGUUUGCAGUUGUGCUUGUAUCCUAUUACGUGGGAUUCCUUUUGAUGUGUGGGAUGACAGGUGUGUGGCAUUGAGGGACAGAUGCUGGUAGUGUCUUGGGUACAGUUCCCUGGAGCAGAACCUGAGAAGGGGAUGUUUGUGCAAGACAUUUAUCAAUGGAGUGCACUCACAAGAAACAUGUAGGGGUCGGUGGGAGCCAUAUUGGGAAGGGAGGAAAGAAAAAUGAAAAAGGAUGUGGUCUCCGAUGCAGCUGGGCUUCAGCUUGAUCCCAUGGGGCCUCUGGGGAAUAAACUGUACCACAGGGUCUGCUCAGUCUUGGGGCAUGAAUGCAAGGUGGUUUCUUUGUUUGUUUGUUUGUUUUGUGUGUGUGUGUUUUCCAUAAAGCAGUCAGUUAUUGGCCCAGGACUACAGGAGAGGAUACAAAGAACCUAGGUCCCUUCAUGGGGAGGGACUUCCCUAUCUCCCAGGGACACUGGCUCCAGUGUUCAGUCACCUGCCCAAGAUGCCUAGGCCUGCAGGAGGGACCAGAGGCAGAUGAUGUAGACAAUGAUGAUGUCACAAAGAGAAGUGAGAAAUAAUGCAAGCAGCUCCAUUCCCCACGGCAACUGUGCAGAGAGGCUUGCAGGUCCAAACCACUGGUAGCAGCCCCUGGUAUAUCCAGGACAUCAGCACAUAGAACCAGUGAAAGGGUCCUCCCUCAUAGUGACGCAUGUCAUAGACUCAGAUUUAUACAAACAAAUGCUGAGCAAACCAUGAAGAGUCUCUGGUAUUUUCAACAAUAUCAUCACAGAGGAACUGUAUUGAUUUCCUUGCACGUUCAGGGUACUGGGAGAGGCAACAGGGAUGGAGGUCCCAUGUCAGGGGACUUCACAGUGUGACGGGAAUGUUCAACCUGCACCUGUUCCUUGCACCAUACUCCAUCCAGCUCUCCGCUCUUCCAGUCAUUUAUGCUCCUGUCUUCCGUGGAGGAAGUCUGGUAGUAUCUCCCCGGGACACUGGCUCAAAUUUCCAGCCACCUGCCCAAGACAGAUGGGACCAGGGGCCAGAUGAUGUGGACAAUGAUGAUGUCACAAAGAGAAGUAAGAAAUAAAGGAGGCAACUUAGUGGGAAAGGUGAUGUUCUGGGUUCUGAAGAAGAUGAGAGAUACCAGGCCAGGCUGUGCUUUGCCUCUUGGCCUAUUUUCCUUCCUGACUUUUUUCAGCCACAGUGAGUCUCUGAGACCUAGUUUUGGCAGAAGGAAGUACCAGAGGGAGCUGAGCUGUUGAACAUUAUGUGCGAUCAUGUAAUAACUGCAAUCGGAAGGGAAACACUCAGAGUCCUGGAGAAAGAGAAAUUCGCAUUUGUG
rnacentral:lncRNA from 1 species